rnacentral:rRNA from 1 species
UACGUAGGGUGCAAGCGUUAAUCGGAAUUACUGGGCGUAAAGCGUGCGCAGGCGGUGAUGUAAGACAGAUGUGAAAUCCCCGGGCUCAACCUGGGAACUGCAUUUGUGACUGCAUCGCUGGAGUAGGCGAGAGGGGGAUGGAAUUCCGCGUGUAGCAGUGAAAUGCGUAGAUAUGCGGAGGAACACCGAUGGCGAAGGCAAUCCCCUGGGCCUGCUACGACGCUCAUGCACGAAAGCGUGGGGAGCAAACAGG